AUUCUUACCUGGCAGGGGAGAUACCAUGAUUAUGAAGGUGGUUUUCCCAGGGCAAGGCCUAUCCAUUCUACUCUGGAUGUGCUGACUUCUGGAAUUUCCCCAAAUGUGGGAAACUGAACUGCAUAAUUUGUGGGAAUAGGAGUGAGAGACUGUACUUGUGCUUUCCUCUGU
ensembl:snRNA U1 U1 spliceosomal RNA